ACUCAAAGGAAUUGACGGGGGCCCGCACAAGCAGCGGAGCGUGUGGUUUAAUUCGAGGUUACACGAAGCACCUUACCUGGACUGGACAUGGCGCUAGUAGGGGUUGGAAACAACUCCGACCGCAAGGAGGCGUCACCGGUGCUGCAUGGCUGUCGUCAGCUCGUGCCGUGAGGUGUAGGGUUAAGUCCUGAAACGAGCGCAACCCUCGGCGGUAGUUAGAGUGUCUACCGCGACUGCCCGUGACAAGCGGGAGGAAGGUGGGGAUGACGUCAAGUCAGCAUGGCCUGUAUGUCCAGGGCGACACACACGCUACAAUGGUCGGUACAAUGGGCAGCCAAGCCGCAAGGCGGAGCUAAUCCAAUCAAAGCCGGCCUCAGUUCAGAUUGUGGGCUGCAACCCGCCCACAUGAAGUCGGAGUUGCUAGUAACCGCGCGUCAGCAGAGUGCGGUGAAUACGUUCCCGGGCCUUGUACACACCGCCCGU
rnacentral:rRNA from 1 species